GCAAAUAUGUCGAGAUCUUUACCCACCGCGUUGGCAGCAUAGGCGCACCGAGCAGAAGGACAGUGUUUAUUAGAGUGACAAACACCAGACAAUGAGAAGUCUCUAAGAUUGCUGGGAAGAACACAAAGGCUAACAUUUUCUAAAUGAGAAGCGCAGGAUUUAAGAUGAAAGACCUGAACAAAAAAAAAGUGCAUCAAGGUGAUGUCUCCAUUUAUGUAAAGAAUGUAGACUUAAUUUCUCUAAGGCAUCAGUAUAAGUAUAUGAAAUAUGAGGGGAAAAACUACUGCUGGAUGUGCUCAAGCUUAUUUGCAUCAGUCGAGGUGAUGAAGUUCCACACUACCAAGGCAUAUUCCAACUUUGACCUGACUAAAGUAAAGUAUAGUACAUACAGACACUCCAGGGAGGAAAUCUGUAGGUAAUGGAGCAAAUAAGGUCUAAAAGCAUUAUGCAUUCAGAAAAUAUGUAAUUAACAUGUGUGUGAAAAUGUAGCUUUGAAUCGAAGAAAACACCCAAGUCAUUAAUAUUGCUGGUGCGUGUAAUAAUAGCAUGACAAAGUUGAUAUUCAUAGCUCAGAAAAUUUAGCAUUUUCUGUGACAGAACUAUGUCUAUAUUCCCAUUGUAUGUUGAAGUUUUCGCAGGCAACACACAUUUUGAUGGAGUGUUAUAUGGGAGUUCCAUAAUGAAACCUGUCUAAAGCAUUAUAUCAGCUUCCACUUUGUUUGGUCUAAAUCACUUUCAUGUAUGUCUUACAGAAGUGUUAUAAGUUACAAACAUUUGAUAAAGUUUUUGUGUAUGUGUAAAGUGGACUCUGUAUGCUUGCACCUUACCUCUCUUUUGCUUGUUUUUAUCGAAUAAAGUACAGCCAAUGAUA